rnacentral:ncRNA from 1 species
UUAAAUGCAUAGAUAGGGAAGAGUAUCUUGGAUCGUUACUUUCAGAGAGGAAAAUCAAUGGUGGGAGAUUUUCUAAGUGACCCUAAGAGAAGUCACCCUUGAGCAGCUUUCAUGAAAGUAAAGUAGUGAAAGUCGGCUAUAAAGUCGUUAUUCUUGUUGAAGUGCCGAUCCUGCUAUGAAUGAUGGGAUCGUGUAAAAAGGUGGUACCGCGAAUCUGCUCCCUUCGUCCUUUUG